rnacentral:lncRNA from 1 species
GGUCCGCUGCAGAGGGCUCUGCUGGUCCGUGGUACGGAGGGGGCAAAUGAUCAAGGGGUUCCCAGUUUUCGACCCUUGAUCCACGCUUUUGUUUUACCGGGAAUAGCCCUACGCUGGCAGUCAACCAGAGCCUGGCAUAUUCUUUCUCCUCGGGGUCCGAGGGAACUUUGCUCUCUAUAUGAGAGAGCAACUCGUUACAUGUCCACCUUUCAAAUGUGCCCAACACAGGCCAAAUGAGGUGGUUUCUCAGUUCUUGCCCUCCCCAGAUCUCAGAACAAUACUGGAUCAUUUUUGCUUUUGAUCUCUUUUUCCUUUCAGAGCAAUUUUCCCAAUAUUUUAACAUCCACCCCAAGGGACUUUCCGGUGGGAUGUCCAGCGAUCCCUUCACUCACUCGGAGGGACCCUUUCCAUUAUCCUUCUUCUGCACUUUACUUUUCUUUUGUCCCAUUAUUGAAAAAAAUUUCUUACCUUCUCCUGCGUUGUGUUCGUUCCGCCUUUGUCCGAGAAAUCAGAGUUUUGCUUAAUACUCACCACUCGGUUUGCUGCACUGGGGUCUCUUGUAUUAGUGCCUUGAUUCUCCUUUUGGACCUGUGCCAAGGUCCAUUGACUGAAAGGGUUUACCAAUUCCCGAGCUUGAUGGGACGUUUCCUUCCCCUUUCAGCCUCCUGUGAUCGGUCCCCCAGGACUCCCUUUCGUCCCAGGUUUUUACAAGCGUGUAAAGAGAGAACUUUUUCACCCCGAAUCGCUUCCUCCAUGGCCAGCCAACUUCCUCGCAGAAGGAUGGAACCACGGCCUUGGAGUCCGUACUCGCUUCGUGAUCAGAUCACGUCUCACACACUCGCCCAAUCACCAGCUCAACCCCACAAUACUUACAGCUAUUUUCCUGUGAGGGUGUCUUCGUGCACAAUUGACUUUUUACGAGCUACCAAGCCGCAGCUUUUCCUGAAGGCUCCAUGCCUUCCCGAGCUCUCUGGAUCCGUUUCUCCUUUUUAUUGUGGUUUUUGCCCUAGCCUAAAUUUGGUUCGGAUGUAGGAACGAGCUGCGGAGAUUCUCGACUCACCAGGCCGCUGAAAUCAGCAGGGGUACCCACCCUGGACAGUGAGAUUCUCCCACAGUUUCUCCUAUCCGAGUCAUGGCACCAAU